rnacentral:rRNA from 1 species
AUGUGCAGCAUGCAGGCAGAGCAUUGCCAGUACAUGACGGAGCCUGAGCAGAUGUAUCACCAGCAGCAGCAGCAGUUUCAUGAUCACAGGCAGCACAUGUCCUCGAGGCCUAGCUUGUCCCCGGAGAAGAAGUUCUUCAUGAAGGGCCAAGGAGGGGCAGGAGGAGGAGGAGAUUCGGGGCUCAUCCUGUCGACGGAUGCGAAGCCUCGGCUUAAGUGGACUCCUGAGCUGCACGAGCGGUUCGCGGAUGCGGUGAAGAAGCUAGGAGGGCCUGACAAAGCUACGCCGAAGGCAAUCAUGAGGGUCAUGGGAAUCCCGGGAUUAACUCUGUACCAUCUUAAGAGCCACCUCCAGAAAUUCAGACUUAGCAAGAAUCUCCAAGCGCAAGCUAAUGCCGUCAAUGCAAAAAAUGUUUAUGGCUUUGGCACAGCGACGGAUAAAGCGUGUGAAGGGCAUGGAUCAUCAGGUGAUCACCUGAACCGAGAGACGAACACCAGCAGGUCUAUGCACAUAAACGACGCCCUCCAAAUGCAAAUUGAGGUCCAGAGACGACUGCACGAGCAAAUAGAGGUACAAAGGCACCUGCAGCUCCGGAUCGAAGCCCAGGGGAAGUACCUGCACUCCGUGCUGGAGAAGGCGCAGGAGGCGCUCGGGAAGCAGCACGUCGUCGCCGGCCUCGAGGCGGCGGAGCCCACGCAGCGGCUGCCGGAGCUAGCCUCGUCGGUGAGACGAGGAUUACUCCAGAACGACGGCUCGGCCGAUGACAGCUGCCUGACCGCGUCCGAGGACAUCCUCUCCAUGGGCCUCUCCGCGUCUGCCACCCGUAGAGGCUGCGGCGCUCCGUUCGAAACCUCGGCGAGCGCGAGCCGCGAGGAGGACGAGGAAUGCUACCUGUUUCUCGGCAAGCCUGAGGGGCGGCGUGAGGUCAGGAGGGACGGGUGCAACGGUGGCGCGGCGUUCGGGAAGGCGGCGGAGCUGGACCUUAGCAUCGGCGUCGUCGCGGCGAGCAGCAGGCGGCGGCCGGACGGCGGCGACAGGCUUGACCUGAACGGAUCAGGCUGGAACUGA